rnacentral:rRNA from 1 species
CAGUAGCCACGGUAAUACGAAGGGUGCAAGCGUUAAUCGGAAUUACUGGGCGUAAAGCGUGCGUAGGCGGUGAGUUAAGUCUGCUGUGAAAUCCCCGGGCUCAACCCGGGAAUGGCAGUGGAUACUGGCUCGCUAGAGUGUGUCAGAGGAUGGUGGAAUUCCCGGUGUAGCGGUGAAAUGCGUAGAGAUCGGGAGGAACAUCAGUGGCGAAGGCGGCCAUCUGGGACAACACUGACGCUGAGGCACGAAAGCGUGGGGAGCAAACAGGAUUAGAUACCCCCGUAGUCCCUGUCUCUUAUAC